UUGUAUUAAGUUUAAUUCACUUAUGCAUUUUCUCUAGGUGGCUUUUUUACCGAACAAGAUAUUAAGAGCCUACCAUGUUUACAGGUGAUGGCAAUUCCGACAACCUGGGGUAUUGAAAAAACCACCCAAUCUUUUGGCUGAAGAGCUUAAAGUGAUGUCAAAAGAAGUUGAGUAUAGUUAGUUGGCUGAUGUAGCAACGAUAAGUAGUAAGUGCUGGGAACUAUGAAGUGGAAGUAUGACUACUAAG